rnacentral:lncRNA from 10 species
UGUUUUUUGGAUGCAUCAGCUCACUUUCUAGCCACUGGCCUCUUCUAGAAGUUGCACACAGAUAAAAGGUCCCAGUUAAUGAGGAUUCUGGUUAAAGUUUUAAAAUUCACAGCAAGCCCACUCCGCAUAAUAAUGUAUCAGAAACACAACAAUCCUUUAAUCUAGAAGGAAUUAAUUGCUGGGCCCAGAAAUUCAGGGCACGCUGACAGAAUCCUUAAUUUCUCGAGCUGAUGGUUUCAAAAAGCGACUGAUUUUAGACUGGCUUCUCUCUAGGCGUACGUAAGGCUCCCACAGCCCCAACAAAAGGCGAGAUUGUCUUGGUGUCUAACUCAGUAAGAAUCACGUAUGUGGGGUCUGAAUUAAUGUCAGCUCUGAAUUUUUCCUGCUGAGUGGAACGUGGUGGACCUUAACCCCCAGGAGAUUCAAUGGCAGCUCUGUGGCCUGGGCACCCCAGGCAUCGUCCAGGGAACGUCCUCACUCGUCCCACAUGUGUUUACAGAGCGCCUACUCUGAGCCAAAGCUCAGGUUCUGUGUUGGAAAUGCAGGAGCCAGCAAGACCAGCCUCAAAGACAGACACACAAACCCACGGUCAGAUAACUGCUUGACUGCACGUCGUAAAAAGGAAUGAGGCAGGGUGUCUGAAAGGACAUAACAGGCUGGGCACAGUGACGCACACUUGUAAUCCCAGCACUUUGGGAGGCUAAGGCGGGAAGAUCACUUGAGGCCAGAAAUUCAAGUCCAGCCUGGGCAACAUAGUGAGAUCCUGUCUCUGCAAAAAUUAAAAUAUUAC